CACAUGCAAUCAUUUUAACCUGAUUCUUUGUACUCUCAAGGAAUCCCCAACAAUAAAAAAGGGACUCCCAUAACCCUCUUCAUAAGUUUAAUAAUUUGAUACAAGUACUCACAGAAGUCAGUAAACCACAUACUGACAUUCACUAAUUUUAUUUUAUUUUUUCUCAAAAUUUUGUAAUUAAAUCAUAAAUCACUGUGUACAUUAACGCAUUUAUGGGGUACAAUGUGCUGAUUUUUAAUACAAUUUGGAACGCUUACAUCAAACCGGUUAACAUAGCCCUCACCUGAUUUACUUAAUUACUGUGUUAAGAUAUUUAUAUCCUACUCCGGUCCUUCUUGUGGUUCCAGUUGGGAAAGAAGGAGGAAGGAAGCAGGGAGCGGGGCGGCUGCGGGGGACCCGCCGCGCUGCUGCCACCGCCACCCCCACCGCCUCUGCUGGUGGCGCGCGCACGGGAAAGGAGGCCUGAGUCCCAAGCGGCGCCGCUGAGGGAGGGUGGGCAGUGGGAAGGCAAUGGCGGAUAUAGAUAAACUCAACAUGGACAGUAUCAUCCAACGGCUGCUGGAAGUGAGAGGGUCCAAACCUGGUAAGAAUGUCCAGCUACAAGAGAAAGAAAUCAGAGGACUAUGCUUAAAGUCUCGUGAAAUCUUUCUCAGUCAGCCUAUCCUAUUACAACUUGAAGUACCACUCAAAACAUAUGGCGAUAUCCAUGGACAAUGCUAUGAUUUGCUUCCAGUUUUUGAGUAUGGUGGUUUCCCGCCAGAAAGCAACCACCUGUUUCUUGGGGACUAUGUGGACAGGGGGAAGCAGUCGUUGGAGACUUUCUGCCUCUUACUGGCCUACAAAAUUAAAUAUCCUGAGAAUUUUUUUCUUCUCAGAGGGAACCAUGAAUGUGCCAGCAUCAAUACAAUUUAUGGAUUUUAUGAUGAACGUAAAAGAAGAUCCAACAUUAAACUAUGGAAAACUUUCACAGACUGCUUUAACUGUUUAUCAAUAGAGCCAUGGUGGAUGAGAAAAUAUUCUGCUGUCAUGGAGGUUUAUCACCAGAUCUUUAAUCUAUGGAGCAGAUUCGGCGAAUUAUGUGACCAACCCAUGUACCAGAUCAAGGUCUUCUUUGUGAUCUUUUGUGGUCUGACCCCGAUAAAGAUGUUAUAGGCUGGGGUGAAAAUGACAAAGAAGUGUCUUUCACAUUUGGUGCAGAAGUGGUUGCAAAAUUUCUCCAUUAGCAUGAUUUGGAUCUUCUUUGUAGAGCCCAUCAGGUGGUUGAAGAUGGAUAUAAAUUUUUUGGAAAGAGACAGUUGGUCCCUCUGUUUUCUGCACCCAAUUAUUGUGGAAAGUUUGACAAUGCAGGUGCCAUGAUGAGUGUGGACAAAACAUUAAUGUGUUCUUUUCAGAUUUUAAAGCUGGCAGAAAAAGAAGCCAAAUGCCACGAGACCUGUAACACCUCCAAGGGGUCUGAUCACAAAGCAAGCAAAGAAAUAGAUGUCAAUUUUGACACUGCCUAGUUGGGACUUGUAACAUGUAGUAUAUAACCUUCAUUUUAAAGACUGUAAUGUGUACUGGUCAGCUUGCUCAGAUAAAUCUGUUUGUGGGGGGCCCUUCCUUCUAUUUUUGAUGUAGCAAAUUCCAUUUGCUGGUUGUAACAGCAAAUGAAAGACUCCCCACUCCAAAAAAAAAAAAGAAAUGUUUUGGUUUUUAAUUCCCUUUUCCUUUUGCAAACAAUUUUAAUGAUGGUGUUAAAGCUGUACACCCCAGGACAGUUUAUCCUGUCUAAGGGGUAAGUGUACAAUUGAUCAUUUUUUAAUUCAGUACAAACCCAUAAUAAUGUAAAUGCUUGUUUUCUUUAGGCUAUUAAGAGAGCCCUAGGGUGCUCUGAAUCUGUA